rnacentral:rRNA from 1 species
AUCCUGGCUCAGGACGAACGCUGGCGGCGUGCUUAACACAUGCAAGUCGAACGCUGAAGCUCAGCUUUUGUUGGGUGGAUGAGUGGCGAACGGGUGAGUAACACGUGAGUAACCUGCCCCCUUCUUUGGGAUAACGCCCGGAAACGGGUGCUAAUACUGGAUAUUCACUGGUCUUCGCAUGGGGGUUGGUGGAAAGGGUUUUUCUGGUGGGGGAUGGGCUCGCGGCCUAUCAGCUUGUUGGUGGGGUGAUGGCCUACCAAGGCUUUGACGGGUAGCCGGCCUGAGAGGGUGACCGGUCACAUUGGGACUGAGAUACGGCCCAGACUCCUACGGGAGGCAGCAGUGGGGAAUAUUGCACAAUGGGCGCAAGCCUGAUGCAGCGACGCCGCGUGAGGGAUGGAGGCCUUCGGGUUGUGAACCUCUUUCGCUCAUGGUCAAGCCGCAACAAUGGUUGUGGUGAGGGUAGUGGGUAAAGAAGCGCCGGCUAACUACGUGCCAGCAGCC